rnacentral:rRNA from 1 species
AGGAAUGUAUAGCAAUAGCUACUUACAUUAUAGUAAUAAUGAUGUAAGAUCGACUAAGUCGAAUAAAGUUCUAGGUAUAAUUUUGAUAAUGACAUUAUAUGCCUAUGUGUCUUGACCAAUUACGUGCCAGCAGUCGCGGUAAUACGUAUAAGGCUAGCGUUAUUCAUGUUUAAUCGGUUUAAAGGGUACCUAGACGGCAGAUCAAGCUUAUGUAAAAAAAAGGACUAAUCUGCUAGAGUUACUAGUGAGGGGGCUAUAAAGUACUGCUGGUGUAGGGAUGAAAUAUUUUGAUACCUGAAAAUUAUGGCACAGGUAAAGGCGAAGGCAUCCCCUUAUGAGAUAACUGACGUUGAGGGACGAAGGCUUCGGACCACGAACAGGAUUAGAGACCCUGGUAGUUGAAGCAGUAAACGCUGAAUGUCAUAGAUUAGAUAUAUAAGUUUCUUCUAUAAAUGAAAGUGUAAGCAUUCCACCUCAAGAGUAAUUUGGCAACAUUGGAACUGAAAUCAUUAGACCGUUUCUGAAAUUAGUAGUGAAGUAUGUUGUUUAAUUUGAUAAUCCGCAAAGAACCUUACCACAAUUUGAAUAUUUACAUUGUUUAUUGUUAUGUCAUUAGUUUCCUUUUUUAUUUAUGAUAAUGAAGUAAACAAAACACAAAGAUUAUAAUAUAUAAAAAAAUAAAUAAAGAAUAAAAUUAAUGUUGAAACAAUAACAUGUACUUACAAGCGUUGCACGGCUGUCGUCAGUUGAUGUCGCGAGACUGUGGUUUACUCCACUAAUCAACGUAAACCCUCGCUUUAUUUUUAGAUAAAGCAGAUAAUCACCGAUAUGGUGGUGAU